AGAAAGAAAACUUCUUAAAUGCAUCACUUGCUCGAGUUUGGCCAAUUUUCUAAUUAAGUUCAACCAUAAAAGAAGCUCCUCUAUCCAUUAUUAGCUGAAAGAUGGUCAUGCCCAAUAUUCAAUGCAACUGGGAAAUGGAGCUAGCAGGGAAGAAAUUAAGUAUAUGGUUUCGAGGAGUAGCUGCCACUUGCAACCAGAGUACAGUCUUAAUUACCGGAAAUAGUUGGAUUGAGUUUGAAUUAGUAUUUAAUUUUAAUUUUGAUAUUUUAUAAAUUAUAAAUUUGAUUUAUUUA